rnacentral:rRNA from 1 species
AUUGAACGCUGGCGGCAGGCUUAACACGUGCAAGUCGAGCGGGGGAAGGUAGCUUGCUACCUAACCUAGCGGCGGACGGGUGAGUAAUGCUUAGGAAUCUGCCUAUUAGUGGGGGACAACAUUUCGAAAGGGAUGCUAAUACCGCAUACGCCCUAAGGGGGAAAGCAGGGGAUCUUCGGACCUUGCGCUAAUAGAUGAGCCUAAGUCGGAUUAGCUAGUUGGUGGGGUAAAGGCCUACCAAGGCGACGAGCUGUAGCGGGUCUGAGAGGAUGAUCCGCCACACUGGGACUGAGACACGGCCCAGGCUCCUACGGGAGGCAGCAGUGGGGAAUAUUGGACAAUGGGCGGAAGCCUGAUCCAGCCAUGCCGCGUGUGUGAAGAAGGCCUUUUGGUUGUAAAGCACUUUAAGCGAGGAGGAGGCUACCGAGACUAAUACUCUUGGAUAGUGGACGUUACUCGCAGAAUAAGCACCGGCUAACUCUGUGCCAGCCGCCGCAGUAAAAC